GUGAGGAAUAUUGGACAAUGGGCGCAAGCCUGAUCCAGCCAUGCCGCGUGCAGGAAGACGCAUCUAUGGUGUGUAAACUGCUUUUGUACGGGAAGAAACACUCCCUCGUGAGGGAGCUUGACGGUACCGUAAGAAUAAGGAUCGGCUAACUCCGUGCCAGCAGCCGCGGUAAUACGGAGGAUCCAAGCGUUAUCCGGAAUCAUUGGGUUUAAAGGGUCCGUAGGCGGUUUAAUAAGUCAGUGGUGAAAGCCCAUCGCUCAACGAUGGAACGGCCAUUGAUACUGUUAGACUUGAAUUACAAGGAAGUAACUAGAAUAUGUAGUGUAGCGGUGAAAUGCUUAGAUAUUACAUGGAAUACCAAUUGCGAAGGCAGGUUACUACUUGUGGAUUGACGCUGAUGGACGAAAGCGUGGGGAGCGAACAGGAUUAGAAACCCGGGUAGUC
rnacentral:rRNA from 1 species